AGUUCGAUCAUGGCUCAGAUUGAACGCUGGCGGAUGCUUUACACAUGCAAGUCGAACGGCAGCACGGACUUCGGUCUGGUGGCGAGUGGCGAACGGGUGAGUAAUGUAUCGGAACGUGCCUAGUAGCGGGGGAUAACUACGCGAAAGCGUAGCCAAUACCGCAUACGCCCUUCGGGGGAAAGCGGGGGGACCUUCGGGCCUCGCACUAUUAGAGCGGCCGAUAUCGGAUUAGCUAGUUGGUGGGGUAACGGCUCACCAAGGCGACGAUCCGUAGCUGGUUUGAGAGGACGACCAGCCACACUGGGACUGAGACACGGCCCAGACUCCUACGGGAGGCAGCAGUGGGGAAUUUUGGACAAUGGGGGAACCCCUGAUCCAGCCAUCCUCGCGUGUGCGAUGAAGGCUCUCGGGUUGUAAAGCACUUUUGGCAGGAAAGAAACGGCACGGAUAAUACCCCGUGCAACUGACGGUACCUGCAGAAUAAGCACCGGCUAACUACGUGCCAGCAGCCGCGGUAAUACGUAGGGUGCAAGCGUUAAUCGGAAUUACAUUGGGCGAAGCGUGUGCAGGCGGUUCGGAAAGAAAGAUGUGAAAUCCCAGAGCUUAACUUUGGAACUGCAUUUCUGUUCACCGAGCUAGAGAGUGUGUCAGAGGGAGGUGGAAUUCCGCGUGUAGCAGUGAAAUGCGUGAUAUGCGGAGGAACACCGAUGGCGAAGGCAGCCUCCUGGGAUAACACUGACGCUCAUGCACGAAAGCGGGAGCAAACAGGAUUAGAUACCCUGGUAGUCCACGCCCUAAACGAUGUCAACUAGCUGUUGGGGCCUUCGGGCCUGGUAGCGCAGCUAACGCGUGAAGUUGACCGCCUGGGGAGUACGGUCGCAAGAUUAAAACUCAAAGAAUUGACGGGGACCCGCACAAGCGGUGGAUGAUGUGGAUUAAUUCGAUGCAACGCGAAAACCUUUACCUACCCUUGACAUGUCUGGAAUCCCGAAGAGAUUUUGGGGAGUGCUCGCAAGAGAACCGGAACACAGGUGCUGCAUGGCUGUCGUCAGCUCGUGUCGUGAGAUGUUGGGUUAAGUCCCGCAACGAGCGCAACCCUUGUCAUUAGUUGCUACGAAAGGGCACUCUAAUGAGACUGCCGGUGACAAACCGGGAGGAAGGUGGGGAUGACGUCAAGUCCUCAUGGCCCUUAUGGGUAGGGCUUCACACGUCAUACAAUGGUCGGGACAGAGGGUCGCCAACCCGCGAGGGGGAGCCAAUCCCAGAAACCCGAUCGUAGUCCGGAUCGCAGUCUGCAACUCGGACUGCGUGAAGUCGGAAUCGCUAGUAACGCGGAUCAGCAUGUCGCGUGAAUACGUUCCCGGGUCUUGUACACACCGCCCGUCACACCAUGGGAGUGGGUUUACCAGAAGUAGUUAGCCUAACCGUAAGGAGUGGCGAUUACCACGGUAGGAUUCAUGACUGGGUGAAGUCGUAACAAGGUAA
rnacentral:rRNA from 1 species